rnacentral:rRNA from 3 species
AGCAUGAAGUCAGACAAGAGA